GUGUUGGUCCUGUGCGACGGAGCGCUGUGAACCAUGUCAGGCGGGGAACCGAGCAGCAUUAAGCGGUCUGCCCGUGCGAUACAGUUCGCCUGCACGCC
rnacentral:SRP_RNA from 1 species